AAUUAUUUUGUAUGCUGUGCUGUAUUCAGAGGUCUGCCCGCGUCACACCUCCAGAUGCUGUAUUUAUCGUCCCCGUCUCUCCGGUGCUUUUCCUCCCCAGGAGCCGCAGGAUUGCGGGUCCACGUGAAUCUUCCCAUAGAACCAUCCGCUUUGGACCGACACAGCCUUCGCCUCCCAGGCUGAAGAACCUGGGAAUGGAGCUAAAGAUGAGCCAGUUUUUGAAGGCUGCACCCUGCCAGGUCUUGCUGUAAACAGGUUCUACCAACUCCCUGUUGCAGCAAGUGAGGAGAGGAAAUUCAGCUUUCCAGAAAUCAAAGUUACCUUUCAGACCGACUCCAAGAACCAAAGCCACCAAGACCAAAGGCACCGAGCCAGCCAGAAGCAGCCCUGGCUCCCAUCAUGAGCUGACUUGUACUAAUUCUAGAAUUUACCGGCAGUCCAAUAUAAUGGGGUGUAUCUCUCCCCAAAAGCAGUUUGGACCCUUUUCUCUGAAAGAAAGAAAGGAGAAGUGGCUUUUUUCAAAAAACAUCUGCCUCCUAGCACCUGCCAUAGAAAUCUUACUGAUCAUGCAAGUCUUAGUCCUAGCAGCUCACAUCCAUGCAGCAUUUACUGAUUUCUUCAGCUGAUAUUAGUCUCUGCCCUCAACACCUGGACAGCACUAAACACCUUCCCUGAGAUAUCAACCUUCUAUGGCAAGUUGCAUUAUCGAUAUUUUUUUCUUUUCUCAUAUGUUUACCAUAUUGAAAUGUAAGUUUUUCAUCCAAGGUGUAGGCUAUAGUAUUUUUCCUUGAAUCUAUACUGUAUAAAAAGAUGCAUUCUAACUGUCUGUGGGAUGAAUGAAUGCCUGAAAUUAAUUUUAUGUAACACGUAAAACUGCAAAUCAAGUUGAAACAACUGACUCCUGUUCAUAUAUUCAUUUACAUGACAUAAACACUGUGUAGCAGACUGAUUUUUUCUAAGGUGUCUAAACCAACUAGUAUAUAUUACAACCCACAUGCUUUCCUUAAAAUGUUGACAAAUAGGCUGAGAAUUCCCCCACUGAAAAGUGGGGUUUAUGUUGUCUCGCCUUAAACCUGGGCAAAUCUUUGUAAUUGCUUCAGCUAAAAAUAAUGUUGUGGAUGUGACCCUUGUGUCUUCUGGAACUAGGUCACAAGAAGGUGACACAGUUUCUUCUUGGCUUUCCAUCUUGGGAGUCAGAACUUAAAGGCCCAGAACUGAUAUAUAAGGAGUCUGGCUGACCUGGACCCUCCAGGCUGGAGCUACCACAUAAAGGAGCAGUUCUCAGAACAAGAAGAAAUUGUGUCCAGCCUCUGGAUAAAACGAACAUGGGCUGGACCUUACCAAUAUCCUCUGCACCCCUGAGAGCUGGGUGCAGACUGAAUGCUCACACACGUGAGAACUCGCAGAGUGCAAGAAUGGGGAGAACAGGAGCCUCUAUCAGCCUCUCAGUGAUGUUAUACCCACCACCCACAUCUGGAACACCUUGCUGAGGCAGGAGGAAAGAACUAGGUUUGGAAUCAUAAAGAACUGGAUUUCAAGUCAGUGUUUUGUUACAUACUGUAUCACCUCACACAGGUCACUCAACCUUUCAGAGCUUCAGCCCAUCAGAA